rnacentral:tRNA from 1 species
GCGGCAAUAGCUCAGUUGGUAGAGCACUAGCUUCCCAAGCUGGUGGUCGCGAGUUCGAGUCUCGUUUGCCGCUCCC